GAUGUAAUGGUAUAUUAAUGAUGGUUUGGAAUGGCACCUUCAUUGGUGUGAUUUUUAAUUCAUUUCACAGGUCAAGCAUUCUGGCAGGAGAAACCCGAAAUGCACAGUCAAACCAGUUACCCCAACCAACGUGGAGUAGAGAGCAGGGCAGGAUGGGCAUGUUCCAGCGCCUCUCAUUGUCUCUGAGCCAAGAGCCCUGAUGUGACCUACUUUGUGAAGCCAGGUGGUGUCGUGGACGGACAAAAGUGCCAGCGCACUCUGCAAGAAGCAGAGGAUGGGGAGCCUGCUGAUCUGACUGGCUGUUGUCACAAUGCACAAGUUUGGGAGAUGUCUGGCUCAGAAAAGGCCAACCUUCCACAACAUUCCAACCCUCAAGGGAACUUUCUAACACAUUGGCAAUAUUAACAAUUCCAAAGCAAUCAGGUGUUUGAUCCUUGAUGCUGACAGGAAGUAGUAUUACUUUAACACACUCUCUGUUUUUUAUUGUUAGUUAAUUGUUCAUGUCUACUUGUCUUAGUUUUCCCUUAAGUUUCAAGUCUCUUAAGGGCAGGGACCAUGUCUUAUACUUCAUAUCCUCUGUCCACACAUGCCUACCACAGUAUUUCAUGGGUACUCAAUUACCAUCUGUUACUGAUUGGGUUUUUUUUUUUAAUAGGUGUCAGACAGCUGUCAUGGUGACCAGGUACAGACAGCGUCACGAGAAGCAAGUAUGGUGCUUUUCCUACUAUAUAAACCACAUGUUGAUUAACCUGAAAUCCUGGGAACACAGGAUGUCCUGCAUGAAUGACUGUGGGUUUAGGACACUGUUAUUCUACCCCUUCUUCCCAACAAUUAAAAAUAUCUUUGUGGCAGAUUA